UACGUAGGGUGCAAGCGUUGUCCGGAAUCAUUGGGCGUAAAGAGCGUGUAGGCGGCUCGAUCAGUCUGCUGUAAAAGCCCAGGGCUCAACCCUGGGAUGCCGGUGGAUACUGUCGGGCUAGAGUCCGGAAGAGGCGAGUGGAAUUCCUGGUGUAGCGGUGAAAUGCGCAGAUAUCAGGAGGAACACCAAUGGCGAAGGCAGCUCGCUGGGACGGUACUGACGCUGAGACGCGAAAGCGUGGGGAGCAAACAGG
rnacentral:rRNA from 1 species